CAUCAGUUUGAGGUAGAAACCAACUCUGGUAUACCGAUCUGCCCUCAAUAUAACCCUGGAAGUCACUCCAAUGGUUCCUGAUUUUUGCGGGAUCACACCUCGUAACAACUAAGAAUUAUCUCCCCGUUCGAUUCGAGCGGAAGUGAUUAACCUUAUCAACUGAUAAUGUUAUCUCCAGUUAACGCGAAAACAGAUUCUAUCAUGGCAAUGAUCUCGGAACUACUCUGCGAGGCCCGCGAGGACUCCAUUAUAUAAAGGCCUCCCUCCAGGGGCCCAAGGUACGUGCAAUUACUGCUCACUAGCCUUCUUAUUUCCUAAAUUACUCUCAGCUUGCAAGUUACUGACUUAAACAUCGGAGCGACCUCAUCGGGUAAACGCCCCUGGGUUCUUUGAUGUUCUCUGUGCAGAUCAACUAGCCCCGUCGUCUACUAGAAGCCAUUUCAUCUCCAGCUAGGAGCAGCCAGAUUGCGUCACAUUUACUACCACCAUCUCUCUCUCUCUCGUGUGCAUUUGUAAGCGCAAGUGGAAUUGUGGACUUUUCUUAGUGUUAUCAAAAGGAUUCGUUCUAACGUGGAUGAUUCGACAAGACGAAAACAUCUAUCGUCAAUUGGCAGGGAGGUUAAAGUAAGACAUCCACAGUCCACGGAGCAAAAUUCGGAUGGUUUUACAAUAACAACGAUGUCACUAUUAUAUUCAGUGGUCGACCGCGUUGAGAUCAUGCUGUAAUAAUUCAAAGAUUGGAUUACGACAUCGAUGCAUAUCGUCUUACACAUGAUCUUAGAAUCUGCAAGAUUUAUUCCUUCAAGCGACUACUCUUUAGCCAAUAAAAUGAAAAGCAGUGUUGUAGCAACAAGAAAAGAAAAUAUCAAAAUAUGAAAAACACAUCAAAUUUCAGAGCUUAUCACAAUUUACCUAGAAUCAUUUCCGUUCAAUCUCGUUGUUGUUGGCAAAACUAACACCAUAAAAAUUAAAAAUAAAAAAAAAUAAAAACAGUGAAGGGAUCGGCAAU